UGCCCAGCAACUCCUAUCCCUAUCUCCACGUGGUACCGGCCGGAAACUAUGAGCAACCAUAGGGAAGAUCGGGUAACCAACCCCGGUGGGAACUUUGGUCAUAGGCUGACAGGGAAGG
rnacentral:ribozyme from 1 species